CGUACACACCGCCCGUCACACCAUGGGAGUUGGCUUUACCUGAAGGCGGUGCGCUAACCCGCAAGGGAGGCAGCCGACCACGGUAGGGUCAGCGACUGGGGUG
rnacentral:rRNA from 1 species